rfam:Psychromonas ingrahamii 37, complete genome.
AUCACUGCACCAUCAUAUUAUCUAAUCUUUCAGGAUCUUAUUCUUGGGAGAAUUUUUGCGUUCUUCCAGAGGUUACCAAUAAAAUAAACCCCCGGAAGUCCGCCUCCCGAGGGUUUUUUAGU